rnacentral:lncRNA from 1 species
GAGCUAAUUCCCGGGGCCCAGAGGAAGAGGCAAGCUGGACCACUCUAUUGGAGAAAUCUAUUCCCUUUAGUACUGUGGAGGAGUCACAUGGCCAGUAGACUGAAUCUUUCAGGCUACACACUAAAGCCAUCUGACUCCAGCACUGGAGGACUUUAUCCUUCUCUUUUCAAGUAGAAAGAGAAUAUUGAGGAAAGACAAGGCAAGAGUUCUCGUCCCAACCCUGCCUGUGACCUUUCUCCAUCACCCUAUGGAGAUGUCCCACCUCCCAGAUGGGCCUCCCCCCAAUUAGAUCUCUGCCUGCAGCUCCAGGACCUGCUCUAUACAGUGUCUGGACCUUCUGGGUCUCCCAACUCACUUAAUGAACACUUAGCAUUUUGUUCUCUGAACAAGUUAUAUAAUUUCUGAGUCAUGAUCAGACAGCAGAGAUUUCUCCACCAAAACCAGAAAAGAAAGCAUUGUGUGCUAAGUGCCCCUCAUCUCUUUGUGGGACACCCCAGUUCUGCAGAAGUCUGCAGAAGACUGCUGCGGAGAGCCAAGAUGGUUAGGAGCCUGUCCUCUAGCAUCCUAUUGGCUGCAGGUGACUUGAAGAGGAGUAUUUGCUGCAACAAGCGAAGGCUCAGAGAGAGCGUGUUGUCAGGCUGUGUGUGCCAAACACUCAGCCUCGGUGGAAGCUAUAACUCCCAAAUAUGUGAAGAGGAAACCAAAGAGCUGAGGAACACAGAUGUCCUGUGGCUGGAGAGGCCAUCUAGAAAGUGGCCGUUCACUGAGACACCAGGUCCCUGGCAUGCAGAAGACACUUGAGUGGAGUAAAAGAGGCUGACCCUUCCCCUUUCCACCCCUAGCCAGGGGACCAGACAAGGGGUUAGAGUGCCCUGGAGCAGGCUCUGGUGGUGGGCAGCAGGAGGAAGAAGUUGGUAUAUUCACAUCCACAAAAGCCAGAAGGAUCUGUAUGAGGCUCAGACCCUGUCACGAAUGCCAAAGAACAGGCCAAAUAAAUAAAAAGAUCAUGGCAGUCGAGGCCGCAGGAACUGCUGUGAGUGGCUGACCUACACGUUUUGAAAAAAAGUCUUCAUGAUGCUCUGUGCAACUUGGAACAGAAAGCAGCCGAAGCUGUCAGGGAGCCGGUGUUCUCCGUCAAGGGUGAGCUGGAGCAGGCUGACCCG